rnacentral:rRNA from 1 species
CUGCUGCCUCCCGUAGGAGUCUGGGCCGUAUCUCAGUCCCAAUGUGGCCGGCCAACCUCUCAGUCCGGCUACUGAUCGUCGCCUUGGUGGGCCGUUACCCCACCAACUAGCUAAUCAGACGCGAGUCCAUCUCUCAGCGAUAAAUCUUUGAUAUAAGUGCCAUGCGGCACCUAUAUGUUAUGCGGUAUUAGCAGUCGUUUCCAACUGCUGUCCCCCUCUGAAAGGCAGGUUACUCACGCG